rnacentral:rRNA from 2 species
UACGGGGGGGGCAAGCGUUGUUCGGAAUUACUGGGCGUAAAGGGUUCGUAGGUGGCCAACUAAGUCAGACGUGAAAUCCCUCAGCUUAACUGGGGAACUGCGUCUGAGACUGGAUGGCUUGAGUGCAGGAGAGGAACGCGGAAUUCCAGGUGUAGCGGUGAAAUGCGUAGAUAUCUGGAGGAACACCGGUGGCGAAGGCGGCGUUCUGGACUGCAACUGACACUGAUGAACGAAAGCCAGGGGAGCAAACGGG